CUUUGACAACUACUCGUGUCAAAGUGGUACGUUACGUUCUCAUGCAUCCACAUGAAAGUUAAUGGAAAAGCAGAUCUGCAUCUAAUGAGCAAUACCGUCCAAUGUGGGAAGGACUGCCAUGUAGGCCUUGUAGAGGAGAGGCAGAGCCCCGUUGGCGAUAUGCAAGUUGGGUAAGUGAGGGAUAAAGUCAUUUCCUACUAAAAACCCCAUUAAAACCUACAAUAAUUGCAAUGGAUGAGUUACAUUGAAGGCGGCAGAUUUGGGCAACAAACCCAGUCAUCAAUGAUUUUCUCAAAAUCGUAUUCAAACCCCUUGAGUUGCUUCCUGACCGGGCUGAACUCCAGCUCUAGGUACUCUCUCAUUAAGGACAAGUGCAGCAGGAAAAACGUGAUUUCCUCCGGAACUGACUGUCUUUUGGUGGAUUUUUUGCCGAAUUUCACCUAAAAACUCCGAAUAUUAUCUUUGCCUUGAGCGGGAGCUGCAGCUACCUCUUCUCUCAGCAAGCUAAAAUGGGGCUCAUGUGUGCAAAGACCCAACAUAAUCAAGUCGGCGUCCAGUCCAUACAAGCAAUGCCGCGUGUUGGGGUUGUAGCCGGGCUGCGCCCUUAGAUACCUGAUGUAAUCCAUGAUUUUAUGUUCACCUUCGCCAGGAGUCUGCGAAGAUCAGGCAAUAGUUAAUUAAUAUAAAAGUCUCAACUAACUAUCACCACCUCAUGUCCAGAUAGAAUCACUUGAACAUCCCUCCAAAGGGGAUCAGUGGAAAUUUUAUCCACGCAGAAAUACUUCAGCUGCUCAUGCAGCCGAGCC